GACGUAGGGCGCGAGCGUUGUCCGGAUUUAUUGGGCGUAAAGAGCUCGUAGGCGGCUUGUCGCGUCGACUGUGAAAUCCCGCGGCUCAACUGCGGGUCUGCAGUCGAUACGGGCAGGCUAGAGUUCGGUAGGGGAGACUGGAAUUCCUGGUGUAGCGGUGAAAUGCGCAGAUAUCAGGAGGAACACCGGUGGCGAAGGCGGUUCUCUGGGCAUUACCUGACGCUGAGGAGCGAAAGCGUGGGGAGCGAACAGG
rnacentral:rRNA from 1 species